rnacentral:rRNA from 1 species
AAGUUUGAUCCUGGCUCAGGACGAACGCUGGCGGCGUGCUUAACACAUGCAAGUCGAGCGGAAAGGCCCUUCGGGGUACUCGAGCGGCGAACGGGUGAGUAACACGUGAGCAACCUGCCCCUGGCUCUGGGAUAGCUCCGGGAAACCGGGAUUAAUACCGGAUAUGACCUUUUCCCGCAUGGGAUCUGGUGGAAAGUUUU